rnacentral:rRNA from 1 species
CCUACGGGGGGCAGCAGUGAGGAAUAUUGGUCAAUGGACGAGAGUCUGAACCAGCCAAGUAGCGUGAAGGAUGACUGCCCUAUGGGUUGUAAACUUCUGUUAUAAAGGAAUAAAACGAGGCACGUGUGCCGUUUUGCAUGUACUUUAUGAAUAAGGAUCGGCUAACUCCGUGCCAGCAGCCGCGGUAAUACGGAGGAUCCGAGCGUUAUCCGGAUUUAUUGGGUUUAAAGGGAGCGUAGAGGGGUUGUUAAGUCAGUUGUGAAAGUUUGCGGCUCAACCGGAAAAUUGCAAUUGAUACUGGCAGUCUUGAGUACAGUUGAGGUCGGCGUACUUCGUGGUGUAGCGG